rnacentral:rRNA from 1 species
CGUACUGAGACACGGACCAGACUCCUACGGGAGGCAGCAGUGGGGAAUAUUGGACAAUGGGGGGAACCCUGAUCCAGCCAUGCCGCGUGUGUGAAGAAGGCCUUUUGGUUGUAAAGCACUUUAAGCGAGGAGGAGGCUACCGAGAUUAAUACUCUUGGAUGGUGGACGUUACUCGCAGAAUAAGCACCGGCUAACUCUGUGCCAGCAGCCGCGGUAAUACAGAGGGUGCAAGCGUUGUCCGGAUUUAUUGGGUUUAAAGGGUGCGUAGGCGGCUGAAUAAGUCAGCGGUGAAAGACUUCGGCUUAACCGGAGCAGUGCCGUUGAUACUGUUUAGCUUGAGUGUUGGAGGGGUACAUGGAAUUGAUGGUGUAGCGGUGAAAUGCAUAGAUACCAUCAGGAACACCGAUAGCGAAGGCAUUGUACUGGCCAACAACUGACGCUGAGGCACGAAAGUGUGGGGAUCGAACAGGAUUAGAUACCCUGGUAGUCCACACCGUAAACGAUGAUUACUCGCUGUUAUGGUGUAUGCUGUAGCGGCCAAGCGAAAGCGUUAAGUAAUCCACCUGGGGAGUACGCCGGCAACGGUGAAACUCAAAGGAAUUGACGG